rnacentral:rRNA from 1 species
UGGGGAAUAUUGGACAAUGGGCGCAAGCCUGAUCCAGCCAUGCCGCGUGAGUGAUGAAGGCCAUAGGGUUGUAAAGCUCUUUCACCGGUGAAGAUAAUGACGGUAACCGGAGAAGAAGCCCCGGCUAACUUCGUGCCAGCAGCCGCGGUAAUACGAAGGGGGCUAGCGUUGUUCGGAUUUACUGGGCGUAAAGCGCACGUAGGCGGACUAUUAAGUCAGGGGUGAAAUCCCGGGGCUCAACCCCGGAACUGCCUUUGAUACUGGUAGUCUUGAGUUCGAGAGAGGUGAGUGGAAUUCCGAGUGUAGAGGUGAAAUUCGUAGAUAUUCGGGGGAACACCAGUGGCGAAGGCGGCUCACUGGCUCGAUACUGACGCUGAGGUGCGAAAGCGUGGGGAGCAAACAGG